GACCGCGUAGCUCAGUUGGAAGAGCAUUGGGCUAGUAUUCCAAAGGUCGUAGGUUUAAAUCCCACCGUGGCCG